ACAUCCAGCGAACUUGGCAGAGAUGCCUUGGUGCCUUCGGGAACGCUGAGACAGGUGCUGCAUGGCUGUCGUCAGCUCGUGUUGUGAAAUGUUGGUUAAGUCCCGCAACGAGCGCAACCCUUAUCCUUUGUUGCCAGCGAUUCGGUCGGGAACUCAAAGGAGACUGCCGGUGAUAAACCGGAGGAAGGUGGGGAUGACGUCAAGUCAUCAUGGCCCUUACGAGUAGGGCUACACACGUGCUACAAUGGCGCAUACAAAGAGAAGCGACCUCGCGAGAGCAAGCGGACCUCAUAAAGUGCGUCGUAGUCCGGAUCGGAGUCUGCAACUCGACUCCGUGAAGUCGGAAUCGCUAGUAAUCGUGGAUCAGAAUGCCACGGUGAAUACGUUCCCGGGCCUUGUACACACCGCCCGUCACACCAUGGGAGUGGGUUGCAAAAGAAGUAGGUAGCUUAACCUUCGGGAGGGCGCUUACCACUUUGUGAUUCAUGACUGGGGUGAAGUCGUAACAAGGUAAGCGUAGCGAG
rnacentral:rRNA from 1 species